AUUAAAGUUGUUGCAGUUAAAAAGCUCGUAGUUGGACUUGUGUGCGCUGUCCGCGGGUGGCCUGCGCCCAAAAGGGCGUUUCGGUUCGGCCCCGGUGGCGCCUUGAAAUCUGCAGCUGGGGGGACGUUGGCCUUAACUGGUCGGCGACCGCACGCCGGCUGCUCGGUUACUGUGAGAAAAUUAGAGUGUUCAAGGCAGGCAUUGGGUGCAAUUGAAUACAUUAGCAUGGAAUAAUAAAAUAUGGCUCCUGCCGUAUUUUGUUGGUUUUGACUGGUGGGAGUAAUGAUUGAUAGGGACGGUUGGGGGUGCUAGUAUUGAGCGGCCAGAGGUGAAAUUCAUGGAUUCGCUCAAGACUAACUUAUGCGAAAGCAUUCACCAAGGACGUCCUCUUUAAUCAAGAACGAAAGUUGGGGGAUCGAAGACGAUCAGAUACCGUCGUAGUCUCAACCAUAAACUAUGUCGACCUGGGAUCGGCGGUAGUUUUUUCAUUAAGACACUGUCGGGACCACGGGAGAAAUCAAAGUGUCUGGACUCUGGGGGAAGUAUGGUCGCAAGGCUGAAACUUGAAGGAACUGACGGAAGGGCACCACAGGAGUGGAGCCUGCGGCUUAAUUUGACCCAACACGGGGAAACUUACCAGGUCCAGAGAUGUAGAGGAUUGACAGAUUGAAGCUCUUUCUUGAUCACUUCGGUGGUGGUGCAUGGCCGUUCUUAGUUGGUGGAGUGAUUUGUCUGGUUAAUUCCGUUAACGAACGAGACCUCAGCCUGCUAGUGUAGUCGGCUGGAUUGCCUUUGGCGAUCCGUGAUUUCGACUUCUUAGAGGGACAAUCGACGCGCAGUCGAUGGAAGUUUGAGGCAAUAACAGGUCUGUGAUGCCCUUAGAUGUUCUGGGCCGCACGCGCGCUACACUGCUGGGCUCAGCGAGUUUUACUUGGCCGAGAGGCCCGGUUAAUCUUGUGAAAUCCCAGCGUGCUUGGGCUCGCCUCCUGCAACUGGAGGCGCCAACGAGGAAUUCCUAGUAGACGCAGGUCAUCAACCUGCAUCGAUUACGUCCCUGCCCUUUGUACACACCGCCCGUCGUUCCAUAAGAGUGAGGCAUCCGGUGAAUUCUCGGGAGAGCCUGGGCGUGGCCAGCAAUGGUCUGCUCGGGUUUGAACUUGCAUAAACUUGGUGCCUAUGAUUAGGG
rnacentral:rRNA from 1 species